rnacentral:rRNA from 1 species
AGCAGUAGCCACGGUAAUACGUAGGUGGCAAGCGUUGUCCGGAAUUAAUGGGCGUAAAGGGCUCGCAGGCGGUUUCUUAAGUCUGAUGUGAAAGCCCCCGGCUCAACCGGGGAGGGUCAUUGGAAACUGGGAAACUUGAGUGCAGAAGAGGAGAGUGGAAUUCCACGUGUAGCGGUGAAAUGCGUAGAGAUGUGGAGGAACACCAGUGGCGAAGGCGACUCCCUGGUCUGUAACUGACGCUGAGGAGCGAAAGCGUGGGGAGCGAACAGGAUUAGAUACCCGAGUAGUCCCUGUCUCUUAACA